UGUGUGUGUGUGUGUGUGUGUGUGUGUGUGGUGUGUGUGGUGUGUGUAUGUGUGUGUGUGGCGCAGAUAAGGGGCCAUGGCCUAGGACAGCCAGGCAGUGAGUGGCAAGCGCCUGAUGGGUUGCUUUUCCUUCAUUUUACAAGCCAGGAAGUCUUCCUGCGGUGGGGUUUGCAGAACCAGCAGAAUCCCUCCUGGGGCCACCAUGUUCCCGGCACCGUUCUGAGCCUUUGUAAUGCUAAUCUCCUGUAGUGAGUGCCUGGGGAGGGUUGGGGGGCUGUAAUAUUGUUGUCCUUGCACAAGGAAAGACCAAGAUGCAGAGAGAUGUCUAAAAGGUGCCAGAAGGUGACUAUCCAGCCCUGGUAUCACUGCCUGGUGAUUUUGUUUCUUUGAUCUUCACGAAUGGCCUCACUGGCUGUGAUUUGGACAGAAAUCAGCUGCCACGUGCAACAUUCUCCCAUGGGAACAUGUGUCCGCAGUACCUAUCUCAGAGCCCAAAUCCUUCCUGCCCCACAGCCUUCUCCUGGGACCUGCCUUGGAUUGGCAGCUUUGCAUAACAAACACCACUCCUGAGCUGCCCAGCAUGGGGAGAAAGAAGAGACCGCCUGAGCCUCACCCUUUGCUGGCCAGCUGUGUUGACUUACUACAGCUGACUUCUCUGAGCCGGAGCUUCCUCAUCUGCACAAGGGAGACGACAGCUGGGCCUGACUCCCAGGUUUAUGAUGGGGAUUAGAGGAGCAUUAGCAAGGGCAAUGUUUGUAGUAGAGACAGGCAAACAGAAGACUCUCAGUACAUGGUAUUGUACGAAUGGUAUCUAACCCCAUUAGACUCAGACACUGAAGGAAAUGCAGUAAAGCACACACAGCUGAUUGACAAAAAUGCAAUGACAUUGUACAGA